CCCAACCCCAGCAGAUUUCCCUCCCUCGGUGCCACCACACAGGUGUUGACACCUCACCUGUGCCACAGCUGGGAGCCCCUGUGAGAAUCGUGGUGCCUCUCCCGGGGGCUGGGGAGGGGCUGGGGAGGGGCUGGGGUUCAUUCCCGUCCUGCUGGGGGUAAAACCCCCCUGGACCACUCCAGGCUCAGGUGCCACUGGGAGGUUUUUGGGGCUGGAUGUGAAAAUCCCAGCAGGUGCCCGAGCUGAGCCCGGCCCUGGGAGGCUGUGGGGACACACCUGGGCAGGUGUGGGGCUGCUCUGUGUCUCACCUGCAGUUUACCACGCCGUGUACCUGGAGGAGCUGACGGCGGCCGAGCUGACGGAGAAGCUGGCGCAGCUUUUCCGCGUCCCCGCCCAGCAGAUCCAGCAGAUCUACAAACAGGGACCCACCGGGAUCCACGUCCUGGUCAGCGACGAGAUGAUCCAGAACUUCCAGGAUGAAUCCUGCUUUGUUCUGGACACCAUGAAAGCUGAAAGCAACGACAGCUACCACAUCAUCCUGAAAUAGGGGGCCAGGUGAGGGCCAGGUGAGGAGCACCUGCAGCCCUCAGCACACCUGGACACCCUCCACUCCCAGCACAAGGACACAAGCAGAGAUCUGGGAACCCCCAGGUGUGGUUACCUGGCCGCCCUCCUCNGGACUC